rnacentral:lncRNA from 1 species
UGGAUGAAAGCUUGAGGCAGGGUGAUUUUAAUCGCGAGAAAAGUGUUGUUAAAACAGAGAUAAUUCUUGUUGAUGAAACAUGGGAGUGAAGGGGAACAGAAUAUGGAGGGAAGUAGGAGUUUGGGGAGGGAACUAGGAAUCAAUUCCCUGUGUCCACCAAACUGAAAGCCAUUAAAGAAAUAAAGGAGUGUGGUCUGCCAUGUAUGUAAAUAAAUUCAUCAUUAAUACCAGGACUAAAUUUUGUAUAUACGCCAGACGCAUUUCGUCUACAAAAAGACUCAUCAGUGACGCUCGAAUCCAAAAAAGUUAAAAAAAAAAAAAGCCAAAUAAAGUACAAAGUUGAAGAGCAUUGAGGACCAAAAUUCCUAAAAGUUUUGCCAAAUCCAGCUAAGGUAAUCUUUGCCUGAGGUAGAAAAGGAUCUAUUAUGCAGGGGAUACAGAUCACAGAUUGGUCUAAUUUGACAACUGAUAAAUAAAAAUACGAUGGAUGC